rnacentral:snoRNA from 1 species
AAUCCAUGUUGUUGACAUUGAUGAAAUAAACCUUUAUAUUGUUUCCAAGCCUCUGAAUAGCAUUCUGAGUCUAGUUGUUGAAAGGUAGUAAUCUCAUCUCUUAGCUU